rnacentral:lncRNA from 1 species
CAAAAAAAAAAAGAAAAUUUUCAAGGAACUUAAAGGGUUUAUUUGCAAAAUUUUCAGACAUGGAAAGACCAAAAAGGCAUACGAAGAAGUACAGCUUUAAACAGCCUGAUGUGAAGGAGUUAAGGAAUCUGAUGUCUUAUGUAUUAGAUCCCUUGGGUUUCAAAGCUCGUUAUGGGAAGCUUCUGCCUCUGUUGACUACUCAGGUUGACGAAGGGCUGAUGAGUACUCUGGCUCAGUUU